rnacentral:rRNA from 1 species
UACGUAGGUGGCAAGCGUUGUCCGGAAUUAUUGGGCGUAAAGCGCGCGCAGGCGGUCUUUUUAAGUCUGAUGUGAAAGCCCCCGGCUCAACCGGGGAGGGUCAUUGGAAACUGGGAGACUUGAGUGCAGAAGAGAAGAGUGGAAUUCCACGUGUAGCGGUGAAAUGCGUAGAGAUGUGGAGGAACACCAGUGGCGAAGGCGACAUCUUUGGUCUGUAACUGACGCUGAGGCGCGAAAGCGUGGGGAGCAAACAGG